rnacentral:lncRNA from 8 species
GCUGAAGUAUGACAGAUAAUGCAUUGUUGCGUUGUUGGGUUUUGAGUUUGCAAGAAUGGCACUUCACUGUACUUGUGCAUGUGACAUUGAAACUUUAAGCUAAUGUAUGGCAGUUUUAUCAGCAGAGUGAGAACCGUGUGUAUUAUUGUGUUACUGUGAUCAAAUCAUUUGUAGGUUCAAUGAAAUGUGUUUUCAGAUUGGCCCAUUCAUUUACUGAACAUACUGUAUAGAGUACAUGAUGUUUAAACUACACUAUUAUGCCCCUCUCUCUUUCUCUCAAGUGCAGUCAGUGCUUCAUGACUGUUGAUCGCUUUCAAUGUUUGCUGUAGCUUGUCUUAACUACAUAAGCUAACGUAUUGGCUAGCCCAGUCGAUUAGGAAUGGUCAACACAGGUCAAAUGCUGUACGCAGAUGGGUAUACACACUUUAAAACCCUCCUCCCUCCUCACUGUGCACUUUGACCUGGUGCUUUGUGCUCUCGUUUUAAUCCCCUAUUGACUUUGCUGUAGUUUAGAAGAGAUUUGACCUAUAAAGGUAUGCAAGUAACUCUUUCUGACAACUUUUCAUCAUUGUUAAUAUACAGUAUGAUUAGGACCAGGUUUUUUCCCUGACCAAGUGAAAUCACCAGGAAAACCUCUGGGCCCUAGUUAUAGCUUGUAGCCCUCCUGGACAAACUUUAAGCAUUAUCGUCAACAUUUCUCUAUUAUGAAGAACAUGCUGUAUGUUUGUGAACAUGUGGAUUCUGUGCAUUCUGUUUUUAUCCUUCAAUAUUUAUCUGCCUAAAGUGCAGCAUCUGCUGCAAUGAGUCACUUAAUUGACAUUUGAACAGACUUUUUUCCCACAGCAACCCACUUGUUGAAUUCAUGCAUCUAAUUUUACAGUUGGUGGGAAAUAAUGAUCUCAUGAACAUGGAUGUGGGAUUCCUUGAGCUCUCAGAAAUAAAGAGAUGCAGGUGUUCCCGUGGACGUUGCAUUGCACAGCAGUGGAGGGUGCAGGGCCAUGAAGUACAGCAGUGGAGGGGGCAUGACCACAGAGCUAUCCUGUGACAGGUAUGGCAGGCAGGGGCCUGGGAGGGGCCACAGAGCUCUCCUGUGACAGGUAUGGCAGGGUAGUAGCCUGGGAGAGGGAGGGGCCACAGAGCUCUCCUCUGACAGGUACGGCAAGGCAGGUGCCUGGGAGAGGGAGGGGCCAC